rnacentral:rRNA from 1 species
CCUGAGAAACCCAAAAGAUCGAAUGGGGAGAUUCAGCGUCAGCGCAUUUGGUAUAUAUGCAGAUUGCGAUGUGAGUUAUCCUUGUGAUAUUACUUGCACGUAUUUGUAUUAUUUAAUUGCUAAAUGUCGUCGGCGUGCACUUCUCCCCUAGUAGGACGUCGCGACCCGUUGGGUGUCGGUCUACGGCCCAGAUGGUAGUCUUUGAUGUUUGCCGCAAGGUAUAAUAUUGAAGACCACUGGUGUUUCCUGACCGGCUGCCCGGCGGUAUUCGCACGGUAUUAAGCCGCUGUUAUAUGCGUCAGACUCGCCACAAGCGUGAUUAGCGUUCUGGUAUACGGACUUUGUGCCGUCGCUAGGCCUGAUCAGCUGUUAGUUGUGCGAUGUUCUUUGACUGGCUUUGAAAAUACAUUACCGGUCGGCGACGCUACUGCUUUGGGUACUUUCAGGACCCGUCUUGAAACACGGACCAAGGAGUCUAACAUGUACGCAAGUCAUUGGGAUUUAUUUUUUAAUGAAAACCUAAAGGCGUAAUGAAAGUAAAGAUUAUCCUUGCGAUAAUUGAGGGAGGAUGAGUUGUGUUACGAUACAAUUCCGCACUCCCGGGGCGUCUCGUUCUUAUUGCAAGAAGAGGCGCACCCAG